rnacentral:rRNA from 1 species
UGGGGAAUAUUGCACAAUGGGGGAAACCCUGAUGCAGCGACGCCGCGUGAACGAAGAAGGUAUUCGUAUCGUAAAGUUCUGUCCUAUGGGAAGAUAAUGACAGUACCAUAGAAGAAAGCUCCGGCUAAAUACGUGCCAGCAGCCGCGUUAAUACGUAUGGAGCGAGCGUUGUCCGGAAUUAUUGGGCGGAAAGGGUACGCAGGCGGUUUAAUAAGUCGAAUGGUAAAGAUCGGGGGUCAACCCCGCAAAGCAUUGGAAACUGAUAAACUUGAGUAGUGAAGAGGAAGUGGAAUUCCUAGUGUAGUGGUGAAAUACGUAGAUAUUAGGAGGAAUACCAGUAGCGAAGGCGACUUUCUGGACACAAACUGACGCUGAGGUACGAAAGCGUGGGGAGCAAACAGG